AUUGAACGCUGGCGGCAGGCCUAACACAUGCAAGUCGAGCGGAUGAAGGGAGCUUGCUCCUGGUUUCGGCGGCGGACGGGUGGGUAAGGCCUGGGAAUCUCCCUGUUAGUGGGGGAUAAGGUCCGAAAACGGGCGCAAUUACCCCAUACGCCCUUAGGGAGAACGUGGGGGAUCUUCGGACCUCCCGCUAUCGGAUGAGCCUAGGUCGGAUUAGCUAGUUGGUGGGUUAAAGGCCUACCAAGGCGACGAUCCGUAACUGGUCUGAGAGGAUGAUCAGUCACACUGGAACUGAGACACGGUCCAGACUCCUACGGGAGGCAGCAGUGGGGAAUAUUGGACAAUGGGCGAAAGCCUGAUCCAGCCAUGCCGCGUGUGUGAAGAAGGUCUUCGGAUUGUAAAGCACUUUAAGUUGGGAGGAAGGGCAGUAAGUUAAUACCUUGCUGUUUUGACGUUACCAACAGAAUAAGCACCGGCUAACUUCGUG
rnacentral:rRNA from 1 species